UCAGUCUUUCAGGACCUCAAGCCAGAAGAUUACCUCACGUCACCUGACUGUGAUUGGAUAGUACAAGAAUUAUUCAAAAAUGUUUUUUACUCGGUUUGGCCUUAUUGCCAGAAGAUUAUGAACAAUUACCUGCCUGCGUAUUUCUCUGCUUGGAGUUGUGGGACCACAGCACUAUUCAUUAAGGACGACCCUGAGUAUCGGGACCAUGCAAAGCCCAUUGUAUACUAUACCAGAGAAAGGUAUCCACUGCUACCCUAUAUGUUUGAAGGCGCUACAAAUGUACAAGACCCAUGUGAUGAGGUCAUGAAUGUGGUUUAGUGAAUGGAACAAGCGAAAU
rnacentral:sRNA from 1 species